GCAUAAGCCUGAGGCGCAUUGAAGGCAGCAGGGUGCUGCAAAGAAGGACAGGCAUCUGUAUAGUGGUCAUUGGAAGGACAAAUAGCACAUAGUCGUGCAACAGAUGAAGAUAGAGCUGCAGAUCUCUGGUUGGUAGUCAACUGUGUCACCAACUUCGCAAAAGAGUCAAUCUUGCCUUCCAACUUGCUUUCAACAGCUGAUAAAGACUGGGCAACAACAUCAUGUACGCCC
rnacentral:lncRNA from 1 species